rnacentral:rRNA from 1 species
GCAGCAGCCACGGUAAUACGGAGGGUGCAAGCGUUAAUCGGAAUUACUGGGCGUAAAGCGUGCGUAGGCGGCUUCUUAAGUCGGAUGUGAAAUCCCUGAGCUUAACUUAGGAAUUGCAUUCGAUACUGGGAAGCUAGAGUAUGGGAGAGGAUGGUAGAAUUCCAGGUGUAGCGGUGAAAUGCGUAGAGAUCUGGAGGAAUACCGAUGGCGAAGGCAGCCAUCUGGCCUAAUACUGACGCUGAGGUACGAAAGCAUGGGGAGCAAACAGGAUUAGAUACCCGCGUAGUCCCUGUCUCUUAUAC